AGUGAACGCUGGCGGUAGGCCUAACACAUGCAAGUCGAACGGCAGCACAGUAAGAGCUUGCUCUUACGGGUGGCGAGUGGCGGACGGGUGAGGAAUACAUCGGAAUCUACUUUUUCGUGGGGGAUAACGUAGGGAAACUUACGCUAAUACCGCAUACGACCUACGGGUGAAAGCAGGGGAUCUUCGGACCUUGCGCGAUUGAAUGAGCCGAUGUCGGAUUAGCUAGUUGGCGGGGUAAAGGCCCACCAAGGCGACGAUCCGUAGCUGGUCUGAGAGGAUGAUCAGCCACACUGGAACUGAGACACGGUCCAGACUCCUACGAGAGGCAGCAGUGGGGUAUAGUGGACAAUGGGCGCAAGCCUGAUCCAGCCAUACCGCGUGGGUGGAGAAAGCCUUCGGGUUGUAAAGCCCUUUUGUUGGGAAAGAAAAGCAGCAGGUUAAUACCACGCUGUUCUGACGGUACCCAAAGAAUAAGCACCGGCUAACUUCGUG
rnacentral:rRNA from 1 species